CUUGCGACUUAGUGGCGGACGGGUGAGUAACGCGUGGGUAACCUGCCUCACACAGGGGGAUAACAGUUGGAAACGACCGCUAAUACCGCAUAACCCGCUAGGGCCGCAUGGCCCGGACGGAAAAGAUUUAUCGGUGUGAGAUGGACCCGCGUUGGAUUAGCUAGUUGGCAGGGUAACGGCCUACCAAGGCGACGAUCGGUAGCCGGACUGAGAGGUUGAACGGCCACAUUGGGACUGAGACACGGCCCAG
rnacentral:rRNA from 1 species